UACGUAGGGUGCGAGCGUUAAUCGGAAUUACUGGGCGUAAAGGGUGCGCAGGCGGCUUCGCAAGUCAGACGUGAAAUCCCCGAGCUUAACUUGGGAAUUGCGUUUGAAACUACGGAGCUGGAGUGUGGCAGAGGGAGGUGGAAUUCCACGUGUAGCGGUGAAAUGCGCAGAUAUCAGGAAGAACACCCGUGGCGAAGGCGGCUCUCUGGGACGUGACUGACGCUGAGACGCGAAAGCGUGGGGAGCGAACAGG
rnacentral:rRNA from 1 species